rnacentral:rRNA from 1 species
GUAAAGCGAGCCCAGGCGGUUUGAUAAGUCUGAAGUUAAAGGCUGUGGCUCAACCAUAGUUCGCUUUGGAAACUGUCAAACUUGAGUGCAGAAGGGGAGAGUGGAAUUCCAUGUGUAGCGGUGAAAUGCGUAGAUAUAUGGAGGAACACCGGUGGCGAAAGCGGCUCUCUGGUCUGUAACUGACGCUGAGGCUCGAAAGCGUGGGGAGCGAACAGGAUUAGA